rnacentral:ncRNA from 1 species
UAACCGCAAUUGAGAAGUUGCGCUGAACCCGCAGAAGUCAGCAGAAGCCAUAGUACGGAAGUACGGGACGCCGGAAACCGGAAGGGC